rnacentral:rRNA from 1 species
UUAAGCAUAUCACUAAGCGGAGGAAAAGAAACUAACCAGGAUUCCCUUAGUAAUGGCGAAUGAACAGGGAAAAGCCCAGCACCGAAGCCUGUGGUCGUUUGAUCACUAGGCAAUGUGGUGUUCAGGUCGAAUCGCGGGAGUGCUGUCUCUCUCCAAGUCCGACAAUGAGUACGGUAUUUUGGACAUGGCCCAUAGAGGGUGAAAGGCCCGUGGGGGAGAGAUUCAUGAUGGUCAGUGCUUCCCUGAUAAGACCUUGGAGUCGGGUUGUUUGAGAAUGCAGCCCAAAGUGGGUGGUAAACUCCAUCCAAGGCUAAAUACUAACACGAGUCCGAUAGCAAACAAGUACCGUGAGGGAAAGUUGAAAAGUACUUUGAAGAGAGAGUAAACAGUGCGUGAAACCGCUCAGAGGUAAACGGGUGGAGUUGAACUGCGUGCUCGGAGAAUUCAGCUGGUGAUUGUGACAUGGUCUUGGCCAUCUUGGUUGAACUGCGGGGUCUGCGUAGCAGCAGGUUUUUGCCUUCGGGUGAGAAUGCGCGAUUCACUUAUCAAGUGAUGUGCGCCCUGUUUGUUUUUCGGAUCGGUUGCCAGUGCACUUUCUCAGAGCGUUCACCACGACCGGCACUGCUGUCUGGCUGUCGCGGUUAAACCGGUUCGGUAUUGUCCUUGUGGCUUUGCUGGAUCGGGAUGGCAGGUAGCUUGUUGGCCUUCCUUCGGGUUGGCUUUCGGGUGUAAUCAGCUGACCAUGAUAGUUCUGUGCAGUGUGUCGGAGGCGGCGGCUUGUGGUGUGUGCAGGUGUUGUUGUUUGCCGGCGUUUUCGGGUUUGGUUACCAUGUUGCCUGUGCAAGCAGGCCUGGUGAUGGCUCGGAAUCGUUCGGUGGGUGGCAGCAUUUGUGACAUCAAUACAGGGCCUAAAGUCUGUGGUGUUGUGGUAGACUAUCCACCUGACCCGUCUUGAAACACGGACCAAGGAGAGUAACAUGUGCGCGAGUCAUUGGGCGUAACGAAACCCAAAGGCGCAGUGAAAGUGAAGGUUUGGCUUGUCCAGACUGAGGUGAGAUCCCGUCGUUCCUCACACGUGAUACCUCCAAGUAGUGAGCGGCGGGCGCAUCACCGGCCCGUCCCAUGACGUAGACGUGGUUUUCGGAUCAUGCACCGUCGGGGCGGAGCAUGAGCGUACAUGUUGAGACCCGAAAGAUGGUGAACUAUGCUUGCGCAGGUUGAAGCCAGAGGAAACUCUGGUGGAGGACCGCAGCGAUUCUGACGUGCAAAUCGAUCGUCAAACGUGAGUAUAGGGGCGAAAGACUAAUCGAACCAUCUAGUAGCUGGUUCCCUCC